GUAACCUGCCCAUCAGAAGGGGAUAACACUUGGAAACAGGUGCUAAUACCGUAUAACAAUCAAAACCGCAUGGUUUUGAUUUGAAAGGCGCUUUCGGGUGUCGCUGAUGGAUGGACCCGCGGUGCAUUAGCUAGUUGGUGAGGUAACGGCUCACCAAGGCCACGAUGCAUAGCCGACCUGAGAGGGUGAUCGGCCACAUUGGGACUGAGACACGGCCCAAACUCCUACGGGAGGCAGCAGUAGGGAAUCUUCGGCAAUGGACGAAAGUCUGACCGAGCAACGCCGCGUGAGUGAAGAAGGUUUUCGGAUCGUAAAACUCUGUUGUUAGAGAAGAACAAGGAUGAGAGUAACUGUUCAUCCCUUGACGGUAUCUAACCAGAAAGCCACGGCUAACUACGUGCCAGCAGCCGCGGUAAUACGUAGGUGGCAAGCGUUGUCCGGAUUUAUUGGGCGUAAAGCGAGCGCAGGCGGUUUCUUAAGUCUGAUGUGAAAGCCCCCGGCUCAACCGGGGAGGGUCAUUGGAAACUGGGAGACUUGAGUGCAGAAGAGGAGAGUGGAAUUCCAUGUGUAGCGGUGAAAUGCGUAGAUAUAUGGAGGAACACCAGUGGCGAAGGCGGCUCUCUGGUCUGUAACUGACGCUGAGGCUCGAAAGCGUGGGGAGCAAACAGGAUUAGAUACCCUGGUAGUCCACGCCGUAAACGAUGAGUGCUAAGUGUUGGAGGGUUUCCGCCCUUCAGUGCUGCAGCUAACGCAUUAAGCACUCCGCCUGGGGAGUACGACCGCAAGGUUGAAACUCAAAGGAAUUGACGGGGGCCCGCACAAGCGGUGGAGCAUGUGGUUUAAUUCGAAGCAACGCGAAGAACCUUACCAGGUCUUGACAUCCUUUGACCACUCUAGAGAUAGAGCUUCCCCUUCGGGGGCAAAGUGACAGGUGGUGCAUGGUUGUCGUCAGCUCGUGUCGUGAGAUGUUGGGUUAAGUCCCGCAACGAGCGCAACCCUUAUUGUUAGUUGCCAUCAUUCAGUUGGGCACUCUAGCAAGACUGCCGGUGACAAACCGGAGGAAGGUGGGGAUGACGUCAAAUCAUCAUGCCCCUUAUGACCUGGGCUACACACGUGCU
rnacentral:rRNA from 1 species